UACGUAGGGUGCGAGCGUUGUCCGGAAUUAUUGGGCGUAAAGAGCUCGUAGGCGGUUCAGCAAGUCGGGUGUGAAAACUCUGGGCUCAACCCAGAGACGCCACCCGAUACUGCUGUGACUAGAGUCCGGUAGGGGAGUGGGGAAUUCCUGGUGUAGCGGUGAAAUGCGCAGAUAUCAGGAGGAACACCGGUGGCGAAGGCGCCACUCUGGGCCGGCACUGACGCUGAGGAGCGAAAGCGUGGGUAGCAAACAGG
rnacentral:rRNA from 1 species